UAAGCGGAGGAAAAGAAACCAACAGGGAUUGCCUCAGUAACGGCGAGUGAAGCGGCAACAGCUCAAAUUUGAAAUCUGGCCUUCUGGCCCGAGUUGUAAUUUGCAGAGGAUGUUUCUGGCGAGGUGCCUUCCGAGUUCCCUGGAACGGGACGCCAUAGAGGGUGAGAGCCCCGUACGGUUGGUCGCUAAGCCUCUGUGAAACUCCUUCGACGAGUCGAGUAGUUUGGGAAUGCUGCUCUAAAUGGGAGGUAUACGUCUUCUAAAGCUAAAUACCGGCUAGAGACCGAUAGCGCACAAGUAGAGUGAUCGAAAGAUGAAAAGCACUUUGAAAAGAGGGUUAAAUAGUACGUGAAAUUGUUGAAAGGGAAGCGCUUAUGACCAGACUUGGACCGGUUGAUCAUCCAUCGUUCUCGGUGGUGCACUCUGCCGGUUCAGGCCAGCAUCAGUUUGGCCCGGGGGAUAAAGGCUUCGGGAAUGUGGCUCCCCACGGGGAGUGUUAUAGCCCGUUGCGUAAUACCCUGGGCUGGACUGAGGUUCGCGCUCCGCAAGGAUGCUGGCGUAAUGGUCAUCAGUGACCCGUCUUGAAACACGGACCAAGGAGUCGUCUUCGUAUGCGAGUGUUCGGGUGUCAAACCCCUACGCGUAAUGAAAGUGAACGUAGGAGAGAGCUUCGGCGCAUCUCCGACCGAUCCUGAUGUUCUCGGAUGGAUUUGAGUAAGAGCAUACGGGGCCGGACCCGAAAGAAGGUGAACUAUGCCUGUAUAGGGUGAAGCCAGAGGAAACUCUGGUGGAGGCUCGCAGCGGUUCUGACGUGCAAAUCGAUCGUCAAAUAUGGGCAUGGGGGCGAAAGACUAAUCGAACCUUCUAGUAGCUGGUUUCCGCCGAAGUUUCCCUCAGGAUAGCAGUGUUGAACUCAGUUUUAUGAAGGUAAAGCGAAUGAUUAGGGACUCGGGGGCGCUAUAUAGCCUUCAUCCAUUCUCAAACUUUAAAUAUGUAAG
rnacentral:rRNA from 1 species